AUUGAACGCUGGCGGCAGGCCUAACACAUGCAAGUCGAACGAGCGGCGGACGGGUGAGUAGUGUCUGGGGAACUGCCUGAUGGAGGGGGAUAACUACUGGAAACGGUAGCUAAUACCGCAUACCAUCAGAUGUGCCCAUAUGGGAUUAGCUAGUUGGUGGGGUAAAGGCUCACCAAGGCGACGAUCCCUAGCUGGUCUGAGAGGAUGACCAGCCACACUGGACCUGAGACACGGCCCAGACUCCUACGGGAGGCAGCAGUGGGGAAUAUUGCACAAUGGGCGCAAGCCUGAUGCAGCCAUGCCGCGUGUAUGAAGAAGGCCUUAGGGUUGUAAAGUACUUUCAGCGGGGAGGCGUUACCCGCAGAAGAAGCACCGGCUAACUCCGUGCCAGCAGCCGCGGUAAUAC
rnacentral:rRNA from 1 species